rnacentral:lncRNA from 1 species
UCGGAAUUUGGGACAAGGUUUACUAGUUAAUGAUGCCCGUCGGGCAUAGGUGAAAAACCAGAACUCUAGUUCAUCUGACGGACGAGGUUGUUCAACUUAGCCUCUCGGUUGCCAGCGUCACCAUGCUCCACGUAGUGAUUCCUCUUCUUCGUGAGACCACCAAGAGGGGCACUCAACUUAAAAGGCCACAAGAAGUUAUUCGCCUCCUUGAAGUGGGGGCCGACUGUGUAAAUCUCAUGAAUGAGAUCCUCAAUGCAGAUGAUACCGUACUUUCCAAGUGCCUCCUCAAUGAUGCUGUUGUCGGUCAAGGCAGUGCGGCUCUUGUUAAGCUUGCCGUAACCACGCUUGUAGAUCAACUCCCGGACAGUUUUCAAGUUGGGAUACCUGAAUAAAACAAGUGAAGUCCAAUAAGUGUUGCUGCUGUGUACGGCCCAAGUCAAUGUUUAGCAAUGGUUUUCUUAAACCGAUUCCCUAAACGCCGAUUUCAAUCGAAGUAAUGAUGCUACCUUCAAUUCUUACAAAAUCCAUAGAGAUAUCGAACUCACCCAUAAGUGACGUAUGGCUCAACCCUGCGCAACAUGUUCACGGUAGCCUUGUUCACCUUCAUGAAUACGCCAUUGAAGAUCUGCCUCAGCCUCAACAGUUGCAUGAUCUUCCUGACCUUGGGGUGCAUGUCAUUGAUACUAGAUCAACAAGAAAAAAAAGAAGUCAGCACUCCUCUACAACAUUCCACCUCAAAAAAAGGGAACAUAAUUAGAGAGAAAUUUAAACAGGAAAUUGAUCGUGGAAAAAAAGAAAUACUAAUCUGUGCUGAUUGCCUAAGUGCAUUACAACUGCUUCUGGAGGAAUAGAUACAUCGGGCAAAAAUUCAAUUCGGGCUUGAACUUACCCACGGAUACGGACGACGAACAUAAGCUUGGGCUCAGGCUCGACAUAGAAUCCACCCUUGAGCUUAGCCUCCCUCUUCAAGCUUAUCAAUUCCUUCUCCUGUACAACAGAAACGCUUUAGGAGAUCGAACAAAAUAUCCAACUCGCAAGGGCAACAAAACAAACUACCCUGGAGGCACAUGCCAAGAAAUACGUGUGGGUAUCUUGAACUUGCUCUAACCCGCAAAGGUGCUCAACACUAUGUAGACAAGGAAGAAGUUGAAGACAUACUAUUGCCAGGUUCAAUUAACAUUAGGUCAUGCGCAUUCCAAUAAGGCCGGUAAUCUGACACGUGACCUAACCAAAAAACAAUCGAUUAUGCAGCAAACAACAAACACAAUCUGAAAAGACACAAACUUAAGGUUUGUAAUGACCUUAACAUGGCAUUUCCUAUCCACUCGUAAGCCAUAAACUCAGCAUUGUCACUAAACCCUAAAACCCAACCUCGUCUACUGAACAAUGAUCAACAGUCUAAGCUGCCCCCGCAAUCGACUAAGAACCCAAAUCCUUUCGCAACCGCCUCACCUGUCUCUGAUACUCCUCCUGGUACUGCUGAGCACGCUUGAAAAUGAGGGUUCGGUUUUUAGCAUUCCGGGACUUGGCAGCGGCAAGCUGCGAGGACUUGGCAGCAGCCCAUUGCUCGUCCCUCUUGCGCUUCUUGAGGAGCGUCUCGGGCACAACAGCAGGGGCUUGCUCGGCACUCAUGGUGGCUGAGAGGACUGGGAGCCUGACCGCGAGGGGUGAUGCAAGCGAAGGCUGCGAAAAGAGCCCUCGGUUGGACAUUGCUGUGGCUUACCCUGGUUGCACACACGAGCUCCAAACCCUAAUUCCCCAUCCUACGGUCCCAGUUCCAAUGAGAAUUGACGGUCGAAAUGAGCCUUCAUCGGGAACGCGUCAUGGAGCUCUGAACUUUGGGGAACUCAGUUGAACUCUAGAACGUAUCGUUUAUAUCAAUUUAUUGACGAGUUUCUUAUAAAAUCUCCACUGAAAGCAAACUCUCAAUGUUUUUUGAAUUCUUUAUGUAUUGUGUAAAAAUUGGACUACUCUUUACAUGUUAUACUACUAUGUGUGCGUAUACAUAUGUUUAUUAAAUUAUAUUCAAUGCACCAAAAAUAAAUUUACAAUUAAAUAGUCAAUUUUUUGUGUAAUUAUAUGCUUAUAAAAAGAAAGAAAAAUUUUUUUUUAUAUAUAUAUAUAUAUAUAUAUAUAUAUUUAAAAUAUAUUCACACUUUUAUUAAAUUUAUCCAUCCAUCUUAACCAUCAUUUUUCAAAAAACUAUAUAAAAUAAAUAAAUAAAUAAAUAAAUAAAUCUUAAUUCAUUGGAUCCAAAAUCAAUAAAAACCAACCAUAUCCAUCAUGAUUACUAUAUUCUUUAUCAUGAUUAGGUUUAUUUAAUAAAAAAUUAGAUCUAUUUAAUAAUUAUAUAAUUAUAUAUGAGAAAAGAUUAAAUAGAACUAAUCAUUUAUAUUAAUUGAAUCAAUUUAUCCAUCCUAACCAUCAAAAAAAAAUAAUAAAAAAUAAAAAAAUAAUGAAUUCUAGAUUUAUUUAUUUAUUUUUUAAUUCUACAACCAAUAAAAAUCAACUAUAUUCAUUAUUAUUAUCAUAUUCUUUGUCAUAGGUAGAUUCAUUUAGUAAAAUCUCAAAUUUGUUUAACAUUCUCAUAUAUAUAUAUAUAUAUAUAUACAUAUUUAUUUAUUUAAUUGAUUCUUGUAGCCUUAUACGUGUAUAAAGGACAUAAAUCUCAAAUAACUAAAAGAUCAAUAUAUUCUUGUAUCACAUAAAAGAAAAUUGAUAAUCAUUAAAAGAUGAUAUAAUGUUAAACUAGAAUGGCUAUUGUUAAAGAUAAGAAAAUUAUAAAGGCUUAAAAUAAGACUAAAGACUAGAAAAGCAUUGAUAAGAAUGAAGAAAGUUUUACUCUUGCCUCCAUAUAUAUUAUUUAACUAAAAGCUACAUAGCAACAUCCUGUAAGACCUUUAAUAUGUGUCUAAUUUAUAAAAUACGUGUUUUAACUUUUAAUGCAAAUUUUCUAUAUGUAAACUACAUAGUUAACUUGUAUCGCAAGUUAUUAACAUUUGCAACACAUAGUUAAAUUUGUUGAAUAAGUUUCUAACCUAUCAAACAAUAGCAAGCAUGUUUAAAGUCAAAGUUGCAACUAUGAAACUUUUAAGAAGCUUAUCUAAAAAAUAUUAUCAAAUUUAUCUAAUUUAAUUUAUUUUUAUUUAUUCAUAUUAUUUGAGUAACUAUUGGAGUAAAUAUAUAUAUAUAUAUAUAUAUAUAUAUAUAUCUGCAAUAUUAUUUCCUCUUCUAACAACAAGUUCCAAGAAGAAUUAGGAUUAUAUGUUGAUAAAGUCCAAGAUGCAAAAAAUUAUAUUUGCAACACAUUUUAAUCUUUGUUUUUUUUAAAGAUAAUUGAUAGGUUUUCUUAACUACCAAUAAUAUUCUAUUCUAUGUCAAGAAGACCACCUUGUUAUUUAAUUGUUGUUUAGGCCUUCAUAACUUCUUUCAAACAAAACAUUUGUAACUCUAUCAAGAGCCAUUCUUACUUCUAAUAAAAUCAUUAAACAUUGGGAAUUUCUUCCAAGGUUGUGAUAUCAAAUGCAUUAUAUCUUGCCAUCUAUUUGAAGAAAAAUAUAUCAUUCUUGAGGAUCUUUAUCUCUAUUAUAUUAUCUUAAAGGUUGAAAUAAUCGCAAUAUCUCAUUAAAUAAGUUGAAAAAUGAUAAUUCUUAAGUUGAAUAUGUUGGUUAUUAAUUUUCCAUCUCUUCAAUAUCAUAAAUAUAGAAAAAUAACGAAUAAAAAAAAAUAGAAUGUAAUGCUCUAUAGAUCUUAUUUCUUUUAUGGCAAAUAUUUUUUAUUUUUUAUUUUGAUUUUGAUGGACAUCAUUAAUGAAAAGCAUUGACAUUUUUUUUUUGCAUUUAUAAGAUGCUUGACUAGCUUCUAUAUACAUUCACUAAUAUCAUAUCCUUACUAAUAAAUAGGAUAUUUCAGUUUAUUUUAAUGCUCUUUAGAAUCUAAAACUUCUUCUAUUAUAAAUUUUUGAUUAUUAUCUAUUUUUAUAAAAAGAAGUAGUAUUUAUCUUCUUCCUAAAAUAUUCACUAUCUUAUAUGGUUCAAGAAGAGACAUGUGGAAUAUAAAAUGGAUCUUUGUAGACUUUGAUAGAGUAAUCAAUAAAGAAAUAGAUUGAUUUAUUUACAAAUAAGAUAUAAUCUAAGCCUUUGCUAAUCUAACCUGUCACAAAAGCAACGAGUUUUGAUAUUGCAAUAAAAUAAUCAUAUCUUGUUACCAAUAUAAAAUUGAUGUUAUUCCUUGUGAUAGGCAUCCACAUUGAUAUUUUGUUGUUCUUGAGUUUUUUUUAAUUAUGCCUUCAUUGUUGUAUAUAGCUCAAAUAAACAAUUUGCUAAUUUUUUUGUCAUAGGAUUAUCAAUUUUAAAAAAUUCAAAAGCAUCAAAUUAUAGAUGAUAAUUAUAAUUAAUAAAAAAAAUAUUUAUAAUCUAGAAGAAUGUAUCAUAAUAUUAUAAAAAAAAUACAAAAGAAUUUUUCAAUGAUCUUAUUGACAAUUGAUGAUACAUCUCAAAUACUGCUUUAAAACUUGAUUUAUGCACUUUAUUUAUCCAUUGAUUUAAAGAAAAAAAGCCAAAAAUAAUUUAAUAUCUAUCUAUUAAAUCUUAAAGCGAAUUUUUAAAAAUUCUUAUAAAAAUUGUUCCAUUAUUUAAUAAAAUAUUCUGAGAAAAUCCAUAAUAUUAAUAGAUGUUAUCAAAAAAAGCUCAAUUAUUUUUUUACAUGUAAUAAAUUUAGUAUAUGAUAUAAAAUAUUCCAUCUUGAUAAAAAAAUCUACUACUGCAAAUAUAGAAUCAUAAAAAUUAAAAAUUAAAAGAUCUACAAUAAAGUCCAUAAAAACAAAAGACCAUGAUUAUUUUAGGAUAAGUAAUAGCUGAAGAAGUUGAUAAGUUUGAUAACAAGGAAUUUUUUAUUUUAAACAAAUAUCAUAUGAUUUUACAAAGUCUUUAAUUGCCCUCCACAUUUGAGGCUACCAAAAAUCUUUAGAUAUUAAUUUUAAAGUCUUAUUGUAUUCAAAAAGUUCAAUUAUUGAAAAGUUAUAACAAACUUGAAGAAUAUAUAAUCAUACUUUGUCUUUUAGAGUAUAUAAUUAUUUUUUAAAAUAUAAUAGAUUAUUCUUGAAUUUAAACUUGGAAGUAUCAUAAGACUUGAAAGAAUUAUUUUUAUUAUUAUAAAUAAGAGAAUUAAAUGAUAUAUUUGAUAGAACUCGCUUGAAUAAUGUUAAAUCAAUAGUCAACAUUGAUAUUUUUGGUCAAAGAUAAAAAUUCUUGAGGUUCAAAAGAAUAUUUUUUUGUUGAUAAAAAAUUAUACUUUUUACUUUUGAUUUUUUAAGAUAAGAACAUCUAAAAAUAGAAUUUAACAAAUCUUAUUGUUUUUUAAGUUGAUAAAUAAUCUUGAAAUCAAAUCAAGAUAAAGACAUACUCCCACAAGCUCGGUAACAAUUAAAAAUAUAUAUUACUAUAAAAUAUUGAUGUUCUUAUGAUUUGCAUAUACAAUGGCUAAAUUAGAAGUACCUUUUAGGUAAUGAUGUCAUUCUUAAAAUGAAUCUCUAAUUGCAAAAAACUCUUAGACAUGGACCUUAUAGCUAUUUUUUGUUAAAAAUUUCUUGAAAUGAAAAGCUAUUGGUUAAAGUUUGUGAUCUGCUCCUAUUUGUGACAACAUUGUAUCCAUAGCAAAGUCCAAUAUAUUUUUUUCUAUAAAUAAUGACUUAAAAAAUCAAUAUAAAAUAAAAUUGGUGUAUAAAUAAAUAUUAUCUUUAAAGCUUCAAAAUAUACUUUAGCUUCUUUGCUCUACAUAAAUUUGUCUUUACAUGUUAGACAAGUAAGAAGAAUCACAACUUGAAAAAAAAUCUUGAUAAAGAUCCAAUAGUAAUUAAUAAAUCUCAAAAAAUACCACAUAUUUUUUAUUAUAUUUGAAACCUUUCAAUCCAUUAUAGUAUGAAUCUUCUUAAAAUCCAUCAUAAUUUGAAAUGAUGUAUCCAAGAAAGUCAACUUGAAUAGUAUGAAAUAUAUAUAUUUCUAGUUUGGCAUAAAAUCCUACAUCUUUUAGUUUUUCUAAUAUAUGAUAAACAUAAACUUCAUUCUUUUUUAUAUUCUUAGAAUAGAUUAAUAUAUUGUCUAAAUAACAAACAAUAAAAUCAUCAAAAAACUUAUAAAAGAUAUCAUUCAUGAGAUGCUAAAAAGUAAUUGGUGUAUUUGUAAAUCCAAAAGGCAUGACUUAAUAUUUAAGACUUUUUGAUCAAUUCAAUCAAGUAAAGAUCCAUAAAUAUUAAGUCAUGCCUUUUGGAUUUAUUUUUAAAUCCUAAUAAAGGAUAUAUAUUACUGAUGGUGAUUUUGUUGAGCCCUCAAUAGUCCAUACAUAUUUGUAAUGAUCUAUCUUUCCUCUUUAUAAAUAAAUUAAGAACUAUUAUUAGAAAUUUUGAAUGACAUAUGUUAUUCUCGUUGCAUUCAAGCUUCAAUAGACCAAAGCAAUUGAACUAAUAGAGGUGGAUUCGAACACGGGAAAAGACUGAUUAUAUGAAUUGGAUUUGUUAGUGUCACAAUUGAUUGUAUUUUAGCUAUCUGAAAUCAAGUAUCAAACUAUAAAACAUCGAGGCUUACUACUUCCAUCUUAAUUCAAUCCAUAAUCUAUUCUACGAUUAUUAAUUCAACAAUACUUCUCUCAAUUAUAAUUCUUCAUAAGCAAAUAAUAAAGAAAACAAAGAAGUAGCACCAAGCUUAUUCCGGCUUAUGACUCUCAGUCUGGCUCUCGGCUUACGACUCUCACAGUCUGGUUCUUGGCUUACAACUUUUACAGUCUGGCUCUUGGCUUAAGACUCUUACAAUCUGGCUCUUGGCUUACGACUCUCACAGUUUGACUCUCGACUUAUGACUCUCACAGUCUGGCUCUCAGCUUACUUUCUUCAACCUAUUUAUCCUACCAAAAAGAUGAUUCGUCGGCUAGCGGAUUCCAAAGGUUAUGACCUUUUGAAUUCUUAACCAUAUAUUCUACUAACAACCUACUGUUAUCAACUAAACUGCCUAACUAUCAGUCUAAUUUUUAAGGUUGUCAAUAAUCAAUCAGUAACUUACAACAAAGUUUAUUUAUCUAUUCUACAUAGUCCCACUCCUAAUUGUGCAGCGUCCUCACAAACAUUAUUUAGCCUCAACUUAUAAAAGACGUAGCAGCGUUGGCUUCUUCAAUCAAUAGCCUUGACUUACCACCCUUUGAAUUAGUGACCUUCUCCUCUGCUACAUCUUCAUCGCCUGCCUCGAUAUUUGAGGGUUCUCUAUCCAAAUGCACCAUCAAAUCUUCAUUCAACAAACCCAAUUCCCGUACCUGAGACUCACGUCGGGCAAUUUGGUUGUCACGCUCCUCCAACAUCUUCUGCCAUUCUUUUGUCGGUUUCAAAGGUAUCUCCAAAGGCGUUAUCGCCAAAACUGACGUAUUGGUCUAUAUUAAAUUAUUGGCCUUCUUUGCUAAUGCGGCUAGUUUAGUUUGUAACAUCGCAACUUCUACUUGCAACCGUUCUUGCCGUUCCUUCCAAUCGGUCUCCAUCCUUACUAUUGCAGAUACCAUGUUUGCCAUCUUCUCCUUAACCACAAAAGAAAACACAAUGCUUGUCAAGAGUCCCCCUCCUACUUCUUACUAUGGUCCAAUCAAUUGGGUCGACUCCCCCUUUUAUAAGAGAAAACCCGUCUCGAGUUUAUGUAUAGUAAAGUUUAAGUCGAUUACUAUUGAUUCGUGUCGUAAAUUUAGUAUCCAUAAAAUCUUCCAAUUAUACUGAACUAUUUGGAAAUCCUUCAAUAACUCGAUAUGGCCCAUGCUAUUGAACUUGAAAUUUUUCUGGAAAUUUUUUAAAUCGACUAUCAUAAAGAAGUACCAAAUCAUUUGGCAUCAAAGCCUUUGAUCUAAGCUUACUAUCAUAAUAAGUCUUUCUUCAUUUUUAGGUAAGAAAGACAUUGAAUUAUUUCACUAUACUCCGGAGUAAUUACAUCUACUGCAAACAGUUCCGCAUCGGGUAGUACAUCGUUAAUGGAUUCAUUAUCCAAUAUAUUGGAUAACCGAGAUAAAUGGUCCACAUUGGAAUGUGAUUUCCCUGGUCUUACCUGAAUAAUAAAGUCAAAUUCUUGCAAGAGUAGAAUCCAUCAUGCAAUACGACCACUCAAUUGAGGCUUAUUAAUCAUAUAUUUUAAAGCAUCAUGGUCGACAUAGAAAACAAAUUUAUAACUAAGAAGAUAAUGUCAAAACUUUUGUACGGAAUAAAUCAUCCCCAAUGCUUUUCUUUCAGUUGUUGUAUAAUUUCUUUCAACUACUACCAAUUGACGACUUACAUAAUAAAUAGGGUGAUCAAAACCCCGAUCAUCUUUUUGGCUUAGCACAGAACCAAUCGCGACAUUAGAUGCAUCCACAUAAACUUGGAAUGGUUUUGUCCAACAAGGUGCCACCAAUAUUGGUGCUGAAACCAAUCUCUCUUUCAAUGUUUCGAAUGCAAUUGUAUAUUCCUUUGACCAAAAUGUACUGGUCCCAUCAGUUGGUGGUUUCUUCAAGAGAUUUGUCAAGAGAAGGCAUAUAACUGUGAAUAAAUAGAUAAAUUGCCAAUAAUAACUGACAUAGUCGACAAAUGCUUGAAUACCCGUAACAGUGUCUGGUUGCUUUAAUUCUACUAUAAUCUUUACUUUAUUUGGAUUUGUAGCAAUGCCUGCUAUCAAAACUAUAUGACCCAAUAGUUUAUCAAAAACUAUACCAAAUUGGUACUUUUUUGAAUUUAAAGAAAUUUCAUAUUUCGUACAUUGAUUCAAAUAUUCAUCAAGACAUUCUAAUUGCCUCGCUCUCGUACUAAAUGUACAAAAAUCAUCUAGAAAUAUUUCCAUUGAAAUUUAUAAAUAAUCCUCGAAUGCUUGCAUCAUUAUCCUUUGAAAUGUAGCUGGUGCAUUAUAAAACCCAAAUGGCAUAACCUUAUAAGCAAAGGUCCUCCAAUCUGUAGUAAAAGUAGUUUUUAACUAGUCUUCUUUUGUAAUCUUAACUUGAUUAUAACCAGAGAAUCCAUCAAGUAAUGAAUAACAUUCAUGUCCAGUGACAACAUCCAAUAUACUAUUUGUGAAUGGUAAAGAAAAAUAAUCCUUCUUGAUAGCUAUAUUUAAUUUUUGAAAAUCUUGAUAGAUGCAAACUUUUCCAUUCUUUUUCGAUACCAUAACAAUCGGUGAAAUCCAUUCAUUGAAAGAAACUGGAUAGAUAAAUCCAACCUCCAAGAGUUUAUCUACUUCUUCUUUUACCAUAAGUAAGUAUUUUAGAUUAAGUCGAUGUUGUCUUUGGCGUACUGGUAUAGUGUUCUUUUCCAAUAUAAUUCAAUGUUCACAAACUUUAUUUGGAAUUCCUUUCAAAUCCGCAUACGACCAUGUAAAAGUAAUUUUAUGGCAUAAAAAGUAAUCCAUCCAAAUUUCUUUCUCCUUGCCUUUUAUAUUUUCAUAAAUCUAAAUGAUUUGGGAAGCCUCUCCUGUACCUAAAUUAAUUGGUUGACAUCAUGGAAUUUCAGGUGUCUUUAGACUGAUGUUCUGCUCAAUUCUAGAAUCUUUCAUAAAAUUCGAUACAUUAGAACUUUCCAACUCCAGUUCAAUAGUACUAACGUGAUUAACAUCCUGUCUAUUCAUCCAAUAUGCAAUCAUAUGAUCAGAAUCGUCAAUAACAGCUGGAGGAACUAAGUACUCUCUCGGUCCCCUGCAUUGGUAGUUCAUUCUAGUGUGCUUGACAACUUGCCUUGUAUCACCAUAAAUUGGGUCAAGUGUACCAAUUUCUUCUUUUGUAGAUUCAUCUUCAUAAUCCGACAUGAAUUUUGAAUUGGCAAAUUGAGUUUCUCCAUAAUAUUGGACAGGGUAUAUUUGAAGCACAAUUUUAUCAUUACCUUUUCCAAUUGUCAAUGUAUCAUGGCCUUAGUCAUUUUGAGCUUUAGCUUGAUACAACCAUGGUCGCCCCAAUAAAAUUAGGUAUGACAAUAUAGAGCUUUGCAAUCGAAAAAUAAUAUAAUCAAUUUUGUAGGUAAUCCCCACAAUCAAUGUAUCAAUAUUUUAUAAAAUAUCCAUAGGUUUGACUCAAUUAGAGUCAGCCAUUCUCAAAACCAAUGUAGUAGGCAAUAAGUGAUUCAAACCCAACUCCUCCAUUGUAGCGGCAUUCAUAAGAUUUAUACUAGAUCCUCCAUCUACUCCCACUCCCGAUAAUAACACUCCAUCAAUUGUGACAUCAAUUGUAGGUGCAUCCGGAUCGAGAUUCAAACUUACUUCUCAAAUUUCUUUAUUUUGAGAUCUACGACAAAUUAAUGAGGAAUUCAAGAUAGUUUGGCACUCAUGUGAUACCACCAAUAGUUACUUCAUAGAGAUCGUGGGCUGUAUGGCACUCAAAUCUUUUAGAAUAUCAUGUGGUUCUAUAUUAGUGGUAAUUCCUAAUGUCCAUUUCUUCUUCCCAGUCUUAAACAUCGACGCAGGUAAAUUGGUUUUCUCUAUAUUAGAAAUUGAUAAAGCUAUUUGAACUGAAUUUGACAGAGCCUGUAAAAUUGGUUCUUUCAACAGGUAAGAUUUUUCUCCCAAUUGUGCUGAUAUUGAUUCUUUGGAAUUCACGCCUCUUAGAAGAUCUUUCAACGGAAAGGACAUUUCUUGAAAUUGUGUAGAGAAUGGAACAGCUUGAUACGGUGUCGUAUUACAUGCUUUCUUGCUCGAGAAUGCAACAGGCGUCUGGCUGUAGAAGGUAGUAUGGAGAUUCGCUAAUAUUCAAGCAGUCUAUCCGUUUUGGCUGUUGGAAUAUAAAUAAUUGUAAGAAUAUACCAUAAAUCUAUACGGAUGUCCUUCGAUUGUUUGCCGAAAUCCUUUUUGCCCCAGUCGGUAGGUCUCUAGACGUUACAGAAAACCCCAAAUAAUCCAAUCUGCUAAUCUCCGAUACCGCUUUAUACUCACGACUUUGUAUCCACUGACGGUCUUGUUAGAUUAACCCAAAAAUUUUCAUCCACUUUGCAUACUCAAUCCUAUAGACACCCUUUUAAUUCUUCAAUCAUAGACGUAACUUCGAUUUCACAAAACAGUCAAGAGUAAUCACACCCACUUCAUUAAAACCUUGAUUCACUAGUACAACACUGACUUCAGUAACGAUUGCUUCAGUCUUUCCAAAAUCCUAUGAAGAAAAAAAAUCCAAUUCUCUAUUUUUUUCCUCCCCCCCUUCCCCCGAAGCAUAAAGCUAGCUCUCCGAUCCUUUUAAAAAUCCUGAUUCUUUCCCCUUCAUUUCUUAACCUAUCCUCUCUUUUAAUCCUAAUUCUCCCCCCUUUCAAACCCUACUCUCUGAAUUUCUUCAAUCUUCCAUCUUGGAUCCGGAAUUCGCUCUGUCGUCAGAGCUUUCUCCUCCAUUUUUUGCCUUUUAAAAGAUUCUUUUUCCAGAAACAACAUUCCCUGAAAUGGCACAAAGAACAGGACAGCCUGAAACGGAAUCAAAACCUCCGUAAUCGGGACCACAUUGAGUCGCCCGACCAAUUCAGGUCUCAUAUUAGCUAAGAGGCCCAUAGUAAGACGUAGAUGUUCCCGUAAUUGGGUCAAAUUGGUCCUUCGCAUCAGAUUGGCUAAGAGGCCCAUAGUAAGACCUGGAUGUUCCCGUAAUUGGGUGAAAUUGGUCCUUUGCAUCAGAUUGGCUAUGUCAUCGAUUUAGUCCUUUCAAUUCUGUUGACUCCUACUAUUGGACUCGAAUGGAGCAUUUUGUUACUGGUAAGUAUGCCCUGACUGACUAUGAUGGGGUGUCUGAACUGGCCACUGAAUAUUGGCACUGGAAUCGGUCAUUGCUCCCAAUAUUCGAGGUAAUUGAACAUUAAUAAAAGUCCCCUUUCUUUAUAUUUUCACGGUAUACUCGUAUUACAACACGACAACAGAAUCAAAGCCUCCAUAAUUGUCACCUCAUUGGGGUGCACAAUCGAUUUAGGUCUUAUACUGAGUAAAGGGUCCAUGUCAGAACUUGGAUUGGAUGUUCCCGUAAUUGAGUCUAAUUGGUCCUUCAUUUCAAGAUCACCCAAAAGAAUUGGUCUUUUCUCCUUUUGCUGACUUCUUGUAAGAACGGCUUGGACACAUUCCACCCAAUUUACUAAAGAAUCUUGGGGUCUUUGAUUUAUCUCCUCCAUUUUUCCUUGGUUUUGGAUUUGCUGAUCUCGAUUAUUGAAAUUGAACGGAGCAUUACAUUGCUGAUAAGUAUGUCUUGACUACUUACAAUUCGCACAUAUUGGAGCAUAAUCGUCACUGGCUUUGGGAUUGGGACAUUUAUUGGCAUAAUGACUAAUCUUUUUAUAAAAAAAACAACAAAGUCGUCUUCUUGCACUCCAAUCUGGCAUAUUGGGUAUCUCCACCAGUAUAUAUCUACUAAGCUUAUUCCAUAAAGGAUUAGAAAAUGAUCUUGGUUGUCCCAUUUGUAUGGAGGGUACUUGGUUUGAUGAUGCAAGUGGAGCAUAUUGCUGAUACCUGUGUUGCUCUUUCUCGUAGUUCUGGGGAUUUGAUGUAGACCCAUAAUUAAAAUUGAAACUUUGAAAGUUAUUGAAUGUUUGAUUUUGUCGAUUAGAUCAAUUUCUAUUCUAUCCAUAUGUAUUUUCCGUUUGAACUUGAUUGACUUCCUAUUGAGUCGAUGGGAUCAUGGUUUGAUUACUGAAUUGUUGUUGCCUUUGUAAAUGCCAACAGUUUUGGAUAGGGUGCUUUCCUCCUCAAAAUGUACAUUGAACACCCGUUUGUCUAGGUGAUGGACAUUCCGUAUCAAAAUGAUCUUGUCCCUUACAAUUAUUACACCAUACAUUAGGUCUCGUAUUAGAAGGCUUAUGUCAUUUCUCCUUAUCUUUAGCCAAAUUCAUGGCCAAUUCUCCCAUUUUCUUUGUUAGAUUUAAUAACAAGGCUUCAUUUGGAUCUUUAACAGUCGCAUUUGUGAACAACUCCGAUUAUUGAUAGGUUGGCAAUGUAAAAUAAGGUGUCAUCAUUAUUGACACUAUUGCUUGGAGUGGUGUAGCAUUAAUUGGUUGUUGCAACAUAACGUUCUUUACAUUGGAUGCUGCUAUUUGUGGAUAAUUAUCCAUCGAUACAUUUUUUGGUUAUAUUUGUUGGCUUCCUAAACUUAGAAUCAACGUAGCCUCCACUGUUAAUCAUUGGUCAUAAUGACAUUCUUCCCACACCUUUGCUCAUACCAACGAUGCCUCUACUGUAGCUGGUCAAGCCUCUUUUACAAACAUUUUCAAUUCUGGUGGAUGCAAAUUGUUAAUUAAUAUUGAUAAUAUAAACGCAUUUGGCAUUUGAUUAUUUGACCAUUUACAAAGUAUAUCCACAAUCCGGCCAUAAUAGGACUCUACGGAUUCUUCCGCAAACAUCUUGCUAUUCAUAAAACUUUCUCGAAGCCGAUCUUCAAAUCCAGUUGGUCUAAAAUGGGUUAGGAAGGCAUUCCUCAAGGCCUUCCAAUUGAGAAAUCUAUUCAUUGGUUGCCGAUUAUAUCAUUCAAAAGCUGUAUCUUUUAAAGUUGCUAGCAACUAUCUCAACCAAAUGUCUUCAGUUCUACCAUUAUUAGCUAUGCAGGCUGUUAAGAAUUGAAAUAUAUGGUGAUCGGAAUUAGAGCCAAGCCAACCACUAAAAAUAGGUAAUGGUACCACACUUGUAGUUCGGUCUCAUAUUGCUCCCAUUUGUACUGUAAUUGGUACUUUUGGCACUUCCGCGGCCAUUGGUGUUAUCAUUGGUCUCCUUACCAUUUGAAUAUGAAUUUUUCUUCUUUUGGUUUUACUUGGACUUGCAAUUCCUUUUUGUCGUUUCCGUAGGAUAUUUCUUAUGUAUAAUCACUCCUGUCUUUCUUUUGUUUGUCGAUUAAUUCUUUGAUAAUCCUCCCUCCAUGAUUAUCACUCAUAAUCUUUCAUUCUUUCUGGUAAAAUCAAUAUUGCCUUGAAUUAUAACUCACAUAUUUGUAAACCUAAAACUGGUUCUUCUCACGUUCUCAUUCAACAUAUAAUUCCAUCUCCCAUACAAUCAGUUUCUAAUAUUUCAUAUUGUUAUCAUUUCCCUAGCAACGGUGCUAAAAUGUUAUUCUCGUUGCGUUCAAGCUUCAAUAGACCAAAGCAAUUGAACUAAUAGAGGUGGGUUCGAACACGGGGAAAGAUUGAUUAUAUGAAUUGGAUUUGUUAGUGUCUCAAUUGACUAUAUUCUAGCUAUCUGAAAUCAAGUAUCAAACUACAAAACAUCGAGGCUUACUACUUCCAUCUUAAUUCAACCCAUAAUCCAUUCUACGAUUAUCAAUUCAAUAAUACUUCUCUCAAUUAUAGUUCUUCAUAAGCAAAUAAUAAAGAAAAGAAAGAGAUAGCACCAAGCUUACUCCGGCUUAUGACUCUCAAUUUGGCUCUCGGCUUAUGACUCUCACAGUCUGGCUCUCGGCUUACAACUUUUACAGUUUGGCUCUUAGCUUAAGAUUCUCACAAUUUGCCUCUCGACUUACAACUCUCACAAUUUGGCUCUCGGCUUACAACUCUCACAGUCUGGCUCUCGGCUUACUUUCUUCAACCUAUUUAUCCUACUAAAAAGAUGAUCUGUCAACCAGCGAAUUCCAAAGGUUAUGACCCUUUGAUUCUUAACCAUAUAUUCCACUAACAACCUAUUGUUAUCAACUAAACUGCCUAACCAUCAAUCUAAUUCUCAAGGUUGUCAAUCACCAACCAAUAACUUACCACAAAAUUUAUUUACCUAUUCUACAACAUAUAAAAUUCUUAACCAAGUUCUUCUUAAUGUACUCCUUUGGUGUAGCCAAUUUGUUCUUCAAUAAGUUAUAGAUUGAUACAAAUGGAAAUUGAGCUCAUUCUUAAAGAUCAAUUGAACAAUCAUAAGUAUAAUAUUUUAAAAGAAUGUCUUUAUUUUUUUAUUCAAAAAUAUCUUGAUAAACUUGAUACUAACUUAGAAUAUUAUUUGUAAUCUUUCUAUCAUCAAAAAUAGAUGUGGCAUAUAUAGCAAAAGAAGACAUUUUUAAAAAAAUUAUUAUAAAUAUCUAAUAAGAUUUUAGAAAUAAUCUUAUAAUAUUUCAGUAAAAAGUUUUAGAAGAAUUUUAAAUUAUUCUAAUAAAAUAUUUUUAAAAUAUUUUAGUAUAUUUUAGAAAGUUCUAGGAAGAUUAAAGAAGUUAUUUAAAAAGGUUCUUAAGAUUGAUUUCUUUCUAAGCAAUAUGGAAAUUUUACAAAAAGCUUCUUAACAUCUAAUAUAUAUUGGAGUCAAGGCUAAAGAGAUCUUCAAACUUAACAAUAUAUUUUUUGGAGUUCUAGUUCACCUUUCUUAGUAUUGAACUUGUAUUCAUCUAAUUUAAUCAAAUUCAUGCUAGUUUUUUUAUUAAAACUCUUUUGUUCAACUUCUUAUUCAAUCUUUUAUAUAAUGUACUGAUAACAGUUUGUCGAGACUAUCCUCUUAUCAAUACUAGACCUUGUUCCCUCUUGAUAGAAAGUAGAUUAUUUUUCUUUUUGAAGGAAUCUAAGUGUUUAGAGGUUGUAGAUCAUCCUUUUUUAAACACAUAUUAUUUAAAAACUCUUUUUUUUCUUUCAAGAUGGUUCAAAGUAAAAAUUUUAAUAUGAUUGAGUUUAUUGAGUCUAAAUUAGAUAAUAUUAUAAACAUGUUGAAUACUUUAUUUUAUCAAAUUCUUGAAAUUGAGAAUUUUUUUUACAAGAUUUUAUGGUGCUAUAAGACUUGAAGCAGUUCAGCUUGUAAUGCAAAUACUUUCUCAAACUUCUAUAUUAAAAGAGGUGGUAGUACUUAUACUUCAACAAGAAAAUUCACCUAUUCAAUAAUAUAAGGAGCCUCAGAUUAGCCUUUCAAAAUUUUUUGAUGGUACAUGCUUUAAGUUUUGAGGAUUUUAUUAAAGUAAGUAGGUAACAAUGGAAGUAGAAUAAGUUAUCUUAUAAAAAAUAUUAUCUUAGAUAUGUUACUAAUGAUUGAAGAUUUGGCUUUUAGUAUAAAGAAAAGACAUCUUAUAGAUGUAGAACGAGGUCAAAGGCCAAGAAUUAAAAUCAAGAGAAUAAAAUAUUAUCUAAAAAAUAUUCAAAUAUUAAGUAAGAGUAAUUAAUGUUUGAAAUAAGAUACCUUCUUUAUCAAUGAAAUGCUAAAGAAUUUAAAGACCAUAGGAUAUCCUUGUGGUAAGUUAGAUACCAAAGGAUGCUAAGACCAUGUGUGUAAAAAUCAAAAAGUAGAAGUUGUCUUUUAGGAUAAUAACCAUUUUUUAUAAAUAAUGGAUAUUAAAAGUAAAAGAUAUCUUAUUCCAUACUUUCUUUGUGUGUAAUUUUAUUGAUUCUAUGUAUUAUGACUUCAAAGUUAUUUUUCUUUAAUAGAUUUGUAAAUAAAAUUUAAUUAAUAACUUUUUUACAAGUUAAGUACUAUCCAACAAAGAAAUUGUAAGUUGAUUUAGUUAAAAACUUGCUCAUAAAAAAAGCCUUAUUUUAGUUUGUUCCUAUAUUUGAAAAGAAAUCUCCAAUCUUAUCUAUUAUGAAGCUUUUUUAGAAGCAUUUGCAAAGGCAUUUGAAAAAUAUGAUAAGGCCUGAUAGUUGAUAAUAAAGAUUUUCUCAUUACACCAAGAGUUAUGCUUUGCAUCAAUUUAUACAUUUCAUUUUAGGCAAUUGGCUUAUAACAUCAAUUGGGAUGAAUAAGCUUUUAUGAGCCAAUUAUAUUGAGAUCUGAGGAACAAUGUAAAAGACUUAUUAGUAUCAUUAUCUGAUCCUCAAAUACUCAAUGAAGCCAUCAACUAAGUUGUAAAGUAUAAUAAUCAAUUAUUUUAAUAUUGUUAAGAUUAAUGCUUAUAGAUUAUGACAAAGCAACAUAUUAAAAUUUGUAUUCUACUACUUCAACAAAUAUAUUACUUCUAUAGUUUGGAAUUGAGGAUAUGCAAAUUGAUGUAGUACAAUUUAAAUCUCUUAUAUCAAAGAAAAAAAAAUUGAUUCGAAUAUGGCUUAUAUUUGUAUUAUAGUGAAGGAGGUCACAAAUUUUAGAAUUAUCUAAAGAAACAAUUUACAAGUAGGAUUAAGAGUGCAAUCAUUUAAAAAAACAAAGAAGCCUAGCUACAAUAAGAGCUAUGUGGCUAGAUUUUCAAAUACCUCAAGUUCAUUAAGGUCUCUCUACCUAAGAACAUUUACUUGUUUUUUAGAUGAAGAAUUUACUAAACUUCAUAAAAUUCCUCUAGUAUAGAAGUCAAAACUUAUAUAUGUAGAAGUAAUAGAUAAUUGAUCUUUAUCUUUAGGCAAUAUUAUUAAUAAGACCAUACUACUAAAAAUAUUAUUUAAAGGCCAUAGUAGCAAAAUAAUAUUCAAUAUUAUUAAAAUCUCAUCUAAUCAUAUUAUCUUAGGACUUUUGUAGCUGAAAAGAAAUAAUCCAUCUAUAGAUUGGAGAUUUUAUAAGGUUGAAUUUUCUAUAGAAAUCCUUCAAAAAAAACUUAACAAGAAGUCAUCAACUAUAAAGUCCUUAUUUUUAGGACAAAAGACUUUUAUGAAAAUGACUAAGAAAGAAUUUCUAUUUGUUAUUUAUACAACUCAAGCUCAUGAAGAAACAAGUUUGCCAGUAGCUAUUCUAUAGUAAUAUAAAAAAUUUCAAGAUGUCUCGAAAAAAAAAUACUAAAAUAUUAUUGAAGCAUCAAUCAUAUGAUUGAGCCAUUAAUCUUUAAAAAGGAAUUCAAUCACCAUUUGAUUUAAUUUAAAAUCUAUCAUAGAAUAAGCUUCUAAUAUUAAAAGAUAAAAUUAUUAAAAUUCUUAAAUUUUUUUUUAUUAGGCAUUCCAAAUAUCUAGUAAGUACACUUAUAUUUUUUGUAAAGAAAAAAGAUGAAUCUUUGUAGAUGUGUGUUGAUUGUCAUAGCAUCAAUAAAAUAAUGGUAAAGAAUUAUUAUCCAUUAUCAUUAAUAUCAAGGCUUUUAGAGCAAUUUAAUCAAGCUAAGAUCUACACCAAAAUAAAUCUCUAUAGAGCAUAUAAUUUGAUGUACAUCAAAGAAGGAGAUAAAUAGAAGAUAACAUUUUGAAUAAGGUACAAAUAUUUUGAAUAUAAUGUCAUAUCUUUUCAAUUAAAAAAUGCUCCAAUUAUAUUCUAACAUUUGAUGAAUGAUAUAUUUUAAGAAUUCUUUAACAAGUUUACUGUCUAUUAUCUUAAUAAUAUCUUAAUUAAUUCUACGAUUCUUAAAGAAUAUAAAAAUUAUGUGAAAUUAAUCUUGUAAAAGUUAUAAGAUAUAGGAUUAUAUGCCAAAUACCUUUAAUUUUUAUAUUAUUUCAGUAUGCUUUCUUUUCCAUUUAAAUUGACAACCCUUACAUAAUAAUUCAUACAAUGGAUCUAUUAUAUGAAUAUAAUGAACAAUCUAUAUAUAAUAAAAUAUAUAAGCUUCUAAAAACUUGUGUACUUCUAUUAAAAAGUCUUAUGUAUCUUUCAUCCUUUCAAUAGCAUCAACUUUACUUGGAUCCUAUUUUCUCUCAUAAAAUCCAUAUAAAUAUCUAAUAAUGAUAACUUCUUAUAUUCCAAAUAUAGAUUUUUCUCUCAAAAGUAUAAGAUGUACUUCUUCAAGUCAAAUUAAAAUCUUUUUAUAAUCUUGUAUGUAAUCAACAAUAUAUUUGUGAUACCCCCUCUCAUCUAAAGUCUCAUUUUUUCUUCUUCUUUAUAUCUUUUGAUAGAAAAAUCAUUCAGAAAAAGCAUAUUUUUUUAGAAAUGAAGUCUCUUAAUACCUUGUUUAUCCCAUUUAUCAUAUAUGUAACUAAUUUUGUAGCACUUUGUAAAAGAGUACACAUUUUAAAUAAUCUAAGUGGUAUUUUUAUUGUUAUUAGAUCCCUACUUCCAUGUACGAGUUGAAAUUAAUCAUAGUCCAAAUAUAAAUCAUUCAUUGAAUAAAUUAUCCUUUGUGCAAAUACUUCACUAAACACAUCUAUUUAAGAUCUUAUAUCUAUAUUUUUAAUAGUUAUUGCAUUUAUUAGCUACAUAUCUUGAAUAAAACAUAAUGAUCCAUUUUUUUAAGGCAUCUUAAAUUAAUGAUUAAAAUAUGAAGCAAGCAAAGGCUCCAAAAUCUUUGUUUUUAUCUUUUCUUUCAAUAAUUCCACCAAUUUAGGCAAGUGUGUCUUUAGCAAAGGAAUUGGCCUUAACUUCCAAGGCACAUGUGGCAUUGUAAAGAUAACCAUAGGAGCAAUAAUAUUAGGAUCAAUACAUCUUAUUUCAUGAGGUUCAAAGACAAAUAAUUUACCUUGUUUUGCAAGCAUUUCUUUAAAAUAUUCAAUUUCUAUUAGUAACAAGGAACUAUCGCAUCUAGUCUUUAAUUCUUAAAAAAUCUCCUUUGUAAAUUGAUGUUCAAUAUUCUUUGGAUUUCUUAAAUUUUAUUUUUUGAUGCUUCUUUUAUUUACUCUAUAGAAUCUUUUGAUAAAAAACCAACAAUGGAUUUUAUCUUCUUAUCUAUUAUUUUAUAUAUUAUUUUUAUAAUAACUUUUGAUGUUUGAAAAGAUUCAAGUAUAUAAUAAACCUCUCUUGAAUGAAUCUCCAAAAUCUUCUCACCAUCUUCUAAUCCAAUAGAUACAAAUAACUUCAAAGAAUCUUCUAGCCUAUUUUCUUCAAAAAUACCUAAAAUACUGUCAUUAUCUUUUAAUGUCUUAAAUCUACAUAAUUCUUUUUUAAUAUUAUAUAUUUUUUUUAAAUCCUCAAAUUUCUAAUAUGUAAUACUUCCAUCUUCAAAAUUCCAAUAAAACCUACAUCAAAGGCAUUUACAUCUUCUAAAAGUAUUUCUCCUAUUGUACCUCCAUAAUUUUGCUUCACAAUGGUUCUUCUUCAAAAACUUUAAAUUCUUUAACAACUCUUGGUAAUAGUUUCUCCUUCAACUUAUCUUGAUUUUUUUCAUGAUUAAGAGGCAUAGUUAGAAAUUAUAUCUCUUUUUUUUCAUCUUUACUACGUAUGUGUAUAUAGAUUAAAUCAUUAUUAAGUACUUUUGUUUCCAUCUAUAUUGUCAUAAUAUAUAAUUUUUUUAAAAUCGUUGAAUAAGCCAUUGUAUCUUGAAUAAAAAAAUAUUGCUUCAUUAUAACAUCUCUAAUCCGGAUUUUAAUAUUUAGGCAAGCUCUAUAUAAUUCACUUCAUGUAUUAUUAGUUGCUCAUAUUGUCCAUCCAUGCUCUAUAUCAAUUGACUACCUCUACUUUUUAUAAAGAUUCUUAGUCAUAAGUUUUAUUUAAAAAUCGUCAUCAACUAAAGUAACAACUACUUCUUCUAUAUCUUCAACCUUCACCAAUACCUCUAUAGUUACCCUUGCCAAAUGCUUUCAAGUAUAAUGGCUUGAAGCUUUUGUUUUCUUAUUAUUAUAAUUAAAUAAACUCAUUGAUUAUAACCACUUGAUGAUUGCUUGUAACAAUUAUCAACCUCUUCUUCAACUUUGUAUAUCAUUGCAUCAAUAGCAUAAUUCAUUCCAAAUUCAUCCAUUAAUUUUUUCUUCUUUUUAAUACUGUUAAUAAUAAUAUCAUGAAAUUCCUUCUUUAUAAUUUUAAAAAUUUCUUUCAAUGUAAAUUCCACCUUAGUAUUUAGUAGACAAUCUUUCAACACCUUCUUUAAAUCUAUUGCUACUUCAAUGUCAAAGAAUAGUUUAUAAGCAAUCAAUCUACUUUUAUCUUUUGUCUUCUUUGCUUAUUCUUCUAAUGUUGAUGUAUCCUUUGUGAAUAAUUCUUAUAAAGCCACUUCACAAGCCUUCUCUCCUUGACUUUGCCUUUUAGAAGAAUUUCCUUCUAUUAUAUCAUCAAAAUAUCUUUGUUUCUUUUCUUCCAUCAAGGCUUCAUGUUGACUCCUAGCAAUAUAUGUAUGAACUAAAAGAGCCUCAACAUGAUCUUUUCAAUCUAUUGCAUCACAUAUUAUAGCUACACUUUUCAAAAAUGCCUCUUGAGGUGUUUUUUCUUUUUUUAUUAUAAAAAUGGCAAAAGUCCAAAAUUUACUUAUUUCUCUACUUCCAUCAAAGUCAUCAUCUAUCCUAGUAUCAUAACUUAUACCUUCUUGUAUUGCUACUUCAUGUGCUAUUAAAGAGUCUUAAAUCCAUGCUCUUAUACUUUCUUUAUUAAAAUUGAUUUAAAAGAGAUUUUUUGUAUCUUUUAAUAUCACCUUUUCAUCCUUCAAAAAAAAAACUCUUUAUUAUAUCAUAUUUUUAAAUUCAUUGCAAUCCUCCUUAGUAUGAGAAGCAUCAUU